UACGGGGGGUGCAAGCGUUGUUCGGAAUCAUUGGGCGUAAAGAGCGUGUAGGCGGCCGCGUAUGUCAGAUGUGAAAGUCCUGGGCUCAACCUGGGAAGUGCACUUGAAACUGCGUGGCUAGAGUAAGGGAGAGGAAAGUGGAAUUCCUGGUGUAGAGGUGAAAUUCGCAGAUAUCAGGAGGAACACCUGUGGCGAAGGCGGCCUUCUGGCCCUAUACUGACGCUGAGACGCGGAAGCGUGGGUAGCAGAC
rnacentral:rRNA from 2 species